AGUGAACGCUGGCGGUAGGCCUAACACAUGCAAGUCGAACGGCAGCACAGUAAGAGCUUGCUCUUACGGGUGGCGAGUGGCGGACGGGUGAGGAAUACAUCGGAAUCUACUUUUUCGUGGGGGAUAACGUAGGGAAACUUACGCUAAUACCGCAUACGUCCUACGGGUGAAAGCAGGGGAUCUUCGGACCUUUCGCGAUUGAAUGAGCCGAUGUCGGAUUAGCUAGUUGGCGGGGUAAAGGCCCACCAAGGCGACGAUCCGUAGCUGGUCUGAGAGGAUGAUCAGCCACACUGGAACUGAGACACGGUCCAGACUCCUACGGGAGGCAGCAGUGGGGAAUAUUGGACAAUGGGCGCAAGCCUGAUCCAGCCAUGCCGCGUGAGUGAAGAAGGCCUUCGGGUUGUAAAGCUCUUUUGUUGGGGAAGAAAAGCAGCAGGUUAAUACCCCGCUGUUCUGACGGUACCCAAAGAAUAAGCACCGGCUAACUUCGUG
rnacentral:rRNA from 1 species